rnacentral:rRNA from 1 species
GUGGGGAAUCUUGCGCAAUGGGCGAAAGCCUGACGCAGCCAUGCCGCGUGAAUGAUGAAGGUCUUAGGAUUGUAAAAUUCUUUCACCGGGGACGAUAAUGACGGUACCCGGAGAAGAAGCCCCGGCUAACUUCGUGCCAGCAGCCGCGGUAAUACGAAGGGGGCUAGCGUUGCUCGGAAUUACUGGGCGUAAAGGGCGCGUAGGCGGAUCGUUAAGUCAGGGGUGAAAUCCCAGAGCUCAACUCUGGAACUGCCCUUGAUACUGGCGAUCUUGAGUGUGAGAGAGGUAUGUGGAACUCCGAGUGUAGAGGUGAAAUUCGUAGAUAUUCGGAAGAACACCAGUGGCGAAGGCGACUCACUGGCCCAAUACUGACGCUGAGGCGCGAAAGCGUGGGGAGCAAACAGGAUUAGAUACCCGGGUAGUCC